GCCGGGGGAUGAGUCCGCGACCCAUUAGCUGGACGGCGGGGUAAAGGCCCACCGUGGCGACGAUGGGUAGCCGGCCUGAGAGGGUGGACGGCCACAUCGGAACUGAGACACGGUCCAGACUCCUACGGGAGGCAGCAGCUAAGAAUCUUCCGCAAUGGGCGAAAGCCUGACGGAGCGACGCCGCGUGAACGAAGAAGGCCGUGAGGUUGUAAAGUUCUUUUCGGGAGGGGGAAUGACCGUGGCAGGGAAUGGCCGCGGGAUGACGUGAAUCCCGGAACAAGCCCCGGCUAACUACGUGCCAGCAGCCGCGGUAACACGUAGGGGGCGAGCGUUGUUCGGAAUCAUUGGGCGUAAAGGGCGUGCAGGCGGCACUGCAAGUCCGGCGUGAAAGACCCCGGCCCAACCGGGGGGGUGCGCUGGAAACUGCGGUGCUUGAGUACAGGAGGGGAUGCCGGAAUUCCAGGUGUAGGGGUGAAAUCUGUAGAUAUCUGGAAGAACACCGAUGGCGAAGGCAGGCAUCUGGCCAUGUACUGACGCUGAGACGCGAAGGUGCGGGGAGCAAACAGGUUUAGAUACCCUGGUAGUCCGCACAGUAAACGAUGUGCACCAGGUGGCGGGGGUAGAACCCCCGGUACCGUAGCAAACGCAUUAAGUGCACCGCCUGGGGAGUAUGCUCGCAAGGGUGAAACUCAAAGGAAUUGACGGGGGCCCGCACAAGCGGUGGAGCAUGUGGUUUAAUUCGAUGGUACGCGAGAAACCUUACCAGGGCUUGACAUACACCGGAAGCGCCGUGAAAGCGGCGUGCCGCUUGCGGCCGGUGAACAGGUGCUGCAUGGCUGUCGUCAGCUCGUGCUGUGAAGUGUUGGGUUAAGUCCCGCAACGAGCGCAACCCCUGCCGUCUGUUGCCACCACGAAAGGUGGGGACUCAGGCGGGACCGCCGGUGACAAACCGGAGGAAGGUGGGGACGACGUCAAGUCAUCAUGGCCCUUAUGUCCUGGGCCACACACGUGCUACAAUGGCCGGUACAGAGCGCAGCGAGGCCGCGAGGCGGAGCGAAUCG
rnacentral:rRNA from 1 species